UUAAGUCAUCAUACUCCAGGCCACAAUCUUCUGCGACCCGGCUGCCAAAGCCAGAGCUGCUCUUCUUAUCCGAUCAACUCUACCUACAUUCGUAUGUUUUAUCAGUAAUGGUUUGUCCCGUCUCUUGUUUUCUACGAUACACUGACAACAUUUACAGAGCUGGCGUGUUUGGCGAAAAGUUGCAAGCUUUCUGUGUUUGUGGGGAGGGAAACGCUGCGAUUUAUUAACGCACGCAACGUGUUCGAUACAAUAUCUCAACGGUAACUUAUUAACUGCGCUUCAAUUUUCAGGCGCACACCUUUUAAAAAUCAGCAAUCAAGAUGCUAUACGAUGGAUUCAAGGAGAUAUUAAAGAUUCAGAAGUUCCGGAGGAUCGCAUCUUAUACUGGAUUCUAUUGUUUUGUUGCGGUGCUGAGUUAUGCUUACACAAACAACACAACGAGGGCAGGGUAUUCUAGAGCUGAUCAAUUCUAUGCGUCUUACCCAGCUGGAACUGAGCUUUUAACCGACACAGCUAAGUUGUAUAAAGCCGCGCUUGGCAAUUGCUUUGAAUCGGAGGAAUGGGGCCCGAUUGAGUUCUGCAUAAUGGCAAAACACUUUGAGCGUCAAGGGAAAUCACCAUAUGCAUAUCAUGCACAAUAUAUGGCACACCUCCUUUCCCUUGGACAACUUGAUGGAAGCGGUUAGGGGGAGAUAUCAAUCAACAGGCAGUUUACAAAUUAACGUCUCAGGGAAAAGUUUUCAAAUCUAUCAACAAGGGAAGAGUUGAUGAAAUCUGUGAUGCCACUGCUGCUUUCACUUAGUAGAUGAACGGACUCCACAUGUUGAUGCAGUGAAGCUAUUACUCUUGAAGAGGCAUGGGUGCCGCUUAGGUUUACCAGAUCUUUUCUGCGGAGCCAAUGUGCUUGUAGGAGUAUAUUGUAUUCCUACUAACUCCUGGAGUUUUGCU